rnacentral:misc_RNA from 1 species
GGAAUAUAGAAAUUGUCAUCCAAAAUCAUCCUUUACAAAUCCCAUGUCUUAUAUAUUGAUCCCUCUAGCUUUCUAUAGUGACCGGUGCUUCUUUUUGCUGCAUUGGGGUCUCUUUUCACGUCUUUCUCUUGACAUGAACUAGAUUCCCUAGUGCGAUAUAUCUAGCUUUCUUCUUCAUAUAUAUCGCAUCCUGUUUAUGGCCAAACCACAAGAAAAACCAGCAGCAACAGUCAGCGAAAGCUCACAAUUAAUCAGAAACCCAUUUCAUUGAAGAUUAUGAAGGUGCAGAUAUGUCCUCUGGUUGUUGCUGUUUCUAUAGACUUUGCUGGAAAAGAAACAACAAUGGAUCACAUAGAUAUCUCUUGUCCAAACUAGAGGAGAUAAACGAUGGUUGGUUUGUGGAAAGAGCAAGGAAACUAAAGGAAAUUUCAGAGGUUUUGGCUGGGCCAAGGUGGAAGAAUUUUAUUCGCAGGUUUACUAAAGUGCAUGGAUUCAACAAGAAAAGAAGGACGCAAUAUCAAUAUGAUCCUCAAAGUUAUGCACUUAAUUUUGAUGAUGGGAUUGAUAAAGAUGCAGAAGAUGCAUUUCCUGAUUUUUCAGCUAGAUUUUCAGCUCCAGUUGGGAUGUACAAAGGCUAAUUGGGGUGUGUUUGACCUGGUAUUAGAUUGAUUCUUGCUGAUUAUAAUUUCGUUGUUUGCUGGUUUUUCCAUUUAAUCUUCUACUUGUAAUAGUUCCCAUUACUCUGAACCAUGUAUAUUGCACAUUCUUAUGUUUAUUACUAUUGAACAACCCUAACGAGUCAUUAUAAUCACUGAAUGAAUUGUUGGUAAGACUACGAGGUCUUAAGUUGAAACCCAAAUCGAAACGAACUGCUCUCAUGUCAAUUAUGCUCUUGGAACAAUCCAUUUUUAUUGAGAAACCAGUUAUA